rfam:Rattus norvegicus chromosome 8, whole genome shotgun sequence.
GGGGAGAUGGCUCAGUGGUUAAGAGCACUGGCUGCUCUUCCAGAGGUCCUGAGUUCAAAUCCCAGCAACCACA